GUCUUUGAGAGUGAGGGGUGGUCGUCACAUCCCGGACGAGCCCCCAAAUGUAAGGUCCUGAGUGC
ensembl:miRNA